GAUGAACGCUAGCGACAGGCUUAACACAUGCAAGUCGAGGGGCAGCAAGAAUUGUAGCAAUACAAUUUGUUGGCGACCGGCGCACGGGUGAGUAACGCGUAUGCAACCUACCUAUCAGAGGGGGAUAGCCCGGUGAAAGCCGGAUUAAUACCGCAUAAAACAGGGGUCCCGCAUGGGAAUAUUUGUUAAAGAUUAAUUGCUGAUAGAUGGGUAUGCGUUCCAUUAGAUUGUUGGUGGGGUAACGGCCUACCAAGUCUUCGAUGGAUAGGGGUUCUGAGAGGAAGGUCCCCCACACUGGUACUGAGACACGGACCAGACUCCUACGGGAGGCAGCAGUGAGGAAUAUUGGUCAAUGGGCGAGAGCCUGAACCAGCCAAGUAGCGUGAAGGAUGACUGCCCUAUGGGUUGUAAACUUCUUUUAUAUGGGAAUAAAUGACAUUACGUGUAGUGUUUUGUAUGUACCAUUAUGAAUAAGCAUCGGCUAACUCCGUGCCAGCCGCCGCCGUAAGAC
rnacentral:rRNA from 1 species